ACCUGAAACCGUGUACGUACAAGCAGUGGGAGCACAGAGCAAUCUGUGUGACUGCGUACCUUUUGUAUAAUGGGUCAGCGACUUAUAUUCUGUAGCAAGGUUAACCGAAUAGGGGAGCCGAAGGGAAACCGAGUCUUAACUGGGCGUUAAGUUGCAGGGUAUAGACCCGAAACCCGGUGAUCUAGCCAUGGGCAGGUUGAAGGUUGGGUAACACUAACUGGAGGACCGAACCGACUAAUGUUGAAAAAUUAGCGGAUGACUUGUGGCUGGGGGUGAAAGGCCAAUCAAACCGGGAGAUAGCUGGUUCUCCCCGAAAGCUAUUUAGGUAGCGCCUCGUGAAUUCAUCUCCGGGGGUAGAGCACUGUUUCGGCAAGGGGGUCAUCCCGACUUACCAACCCGAUGCAAACUGCGAAUACCGGAGAAUGUUAUCACGGGAGACACACGGCGGGUGCUAACGUCCGUCGUGAAGAGGGAAACAACCCAGACCGCCAGCUAAGGUCCCAAAGUCAUGGUUAAGUGGGAAACGAUGUGGGAAGGCCCAGACAGCCAGGAUGUUGGCUUAGAAGCAGCCAUCAUUUAAAGAAAGCGUAAUAGCUCACUGGUCGAGUCGGCCUGCGCGGAAGAUGUAACGGGGCUAAACCAU
rnacentral:rRNA from 1 species